UNCGAUUGCGAAGGCAGCUUGCUGGACUGUAACUGACGCUGAGGCACGAAAGCGUGGGGAUCAAACAGGAUUAGAUACCCUGGUAGNCCACNCCGUAAACGAUGAGUGCUAGCUGUUAGCGAUAUACUGUUAGCGGCACAGAGAAAUCGUUAAGCAUUCCACCUGGGGAGUACGCCGGCAACGGUGAAACUCAAAGGAAUUGACGGGGGCCCGCACAAGCGGAGGAACAUGUGGUUUAAUUCGAUGAUACGCGAGGAACCUUACCUGGGCUUAAAUUGCAGUGGAAUAACGUGGAAACAUGUUAGCCUUCGGGCCGCUGUGAAGGUGCUGCAUGGUUGUCGUCAGCUCGUGCCGUGAGGUGUCGGCUUAAGUGCCAUAACGAGCGCAACCCUCAUCGAUAGUUACUAACAGGUUAAGCUGAGGACUCUAUCGAGACUGCCGACGUAAGUCGUGAGGAAGGUGGGGAUGACGUCAAAUCAGCACGGCCCUUACGUCCAGGGCUACACACGUGUUACAAUGGGGGGUACAAAGGGCAGCUACCUGGCGACAGGAUGCUAAUCUCAAAAACCUCUCUCAGUUCGGAUUGGAGUCUGCAACCCGACUCCAUGAAGCUGGAUUCGCUAGUAAUCGCGCAUCAGCCACGGCGCGGUGAAUACGUUCCCGGGCCUUGUACACACCGCCCGUCAAGCCAUGGGAGCCGGGGGGACCUGAAGUAUGCAACCGUAAGGAGCGUCCUAGGGUAAAACUGGUGACUGGGGCU
rnacentral:rRNA from 1 species